rnacentral:tRNA from 1 species
GCCGGAGUGGCGGAAUGGUAGACGCGCAGGCCUUAGGAGCCUGUGUCCACUCGGACGUGUGGGUUCGAGUCCCACCUCCGGUA